rnacentral:misc_RNA from 1 species
GAGGGUGUGGAGCGCUGGCACAGAUCUUCAGACUGAUAUCUUCCCCUAACGUAUAAUUUGCCAUCCACAAGGGCCCACAUCCUCUGGCCAGCCUUCGACGCGCGACACGUGGACGCAGACUUGCGCACUGCAGUCUAUCCUCGCCCUCUUUGUGUGGCAGCCGCGGAGCCGCCCUUAUCUUCUUCCUUCCUUUGUCGGCACUCAUCGUAAGACGCGCUUGCGUGAGUCUCGUUUCCACGGCAUCUCUUAAAAGGCGCCUCGAUUUCUUGCGUGCAUUGGCGUUCUCUAACCCCUGCCAACGCUGUCACCGCGUCUGUGGCGCCCAUGCACACCCACGCAACCCCAGCGCCUCCUUGUCUUCCUCUUGCACGCCUUCGUCGGCUCUUCAUUUGUGUUGUUGCUCGCCCGUCUCGCGUUGCACUGGUGUUCCUUCAAAGGACCUCCUGAGUUGCCCCUCUUCGUAGGACACCCCCGUCACUCGCGCGUGCAGUCGCCGGCGCUGGGGUGCAGCGACAUCUUUGCUAGGCUCUGUCUCACAUCACCAUACUCGCUCUGCCGCUCUCUCCCCCGCCGCUUCCAUCUAG